UGAGGAAUCUUGGGCAAUGGGCGAAAGCCUGACCCAGCGACGCCGCGUGGAGGAAGAAGGCCUUCGGGUCGUAAACUCCUGUUUGGGGAGAAGAACAAGAGAGAAGUUAAUAGCUUCUCUCUCUGACGGUAUCCCCGGAGAAAGCUCCGGCUAAUUACGUGCCAGCAGCCGCGGUAAUACGUAAGGAGCGAGCGUUGUCCGGAUUUACUGGGCGUAAAGGGCUCGUAGGUGGUUUCUUAGGUCUCACGUGAAAUUCCCUGGCUCAACCAGGGAGGGUCGAGGGAAACCGAGAGGCUAGAGGGCAGGAGAGGAGAGUGGAAUUCCCGGUGUAGCGGUGAAAUGCGUAGAGAUCGGGAGGAACACCAGUGGUGAAGACGGCUCUCUGGACUGUCCCUGACACUGAGGAGCGAAAGCCAGGGGAGCAAACCGG
rnacentral:rRNA from 1 species